GUAAAAUAAUGAAGAGGGUAACUUUAACUUUUAAAAUAGAAAGUCUAAUAGUGUACUAUUUCACACAAGUCUCUCGCUUCUCUCCUCAACCAAAAGAAAAAAACUCUCUCACCUCUUUUUUUUUUCUCUCAAACCCUCUCUGUAUCUAAUAAUCAUUUCUUGCCUCAUCUUCAAUCAUCGUUGGUCUGAUCUUCAACUAGUGGAAUCUGAAAAUCCAUUAAAAUCUAGGACAAAGCCUUUUGUUUGUACGAAUAUGAGGUAUCGAAGAAGAGCAAUAGGUGAGGAAGACGUGAGAAAUAAGUGAGUGACGAAUUGAUUGACUCUGAAGCUAUUGAUUUAGUGUUGAGUUAUGAAAUACACUAUUGCGUCUUUAUAUAUAUACUAAAAGAUUAACAAGAUGAUUGAAGAUACCAUAGUGAAAAAAAUAGUUAAAUAUGUAUGAGGAUUGUGUAUUGUGUAUGUAUUGCAUGGUGGGGUUAGCCAUAUGGAUGUGUUGUGGUGUGAUGGGGGUGCAUGACAGGGUGGUGAAACUUUUUUUAUUAGUUACUACUUUAAUGGAUUAUAAUUGGAGUAGCACAUAGCAGUUUCUUAAACACACAUAUAAAAA